rnacentral:rRNA from 1 species
CCUACGGUAGGCAGCAGUAGGGAAUCUUCCACACUGGGCGAAAGCCUGAUGGAGCCACGCCGCGUGGGUGAAGAAUGUCUUCGGAUCGUAAAACCCUUUUUUUCGAGAAGAAAGUGCGUGAGCGUAACUUUUCACGUUUCUACGGUAUCUAACCAGAAAGCCCAGGCUAACUACGUGCCAGCCGCCCCGGUAAUGCGUAGGGGGCAAGCGUUAUCCGCCUUUAUUGGGCGUAAAGGGCACUCAGGCGGUCUGUUAAGUCUGAUGUGAAAGCCUUCGGCUUAAACGGAGUAGUGCAUUGGAAACUGGGAGAAUUGAGUGCAGAAGAGGAGAGUGGUACUCCAGGGGUAGCGGUGAAAUGCGUAGAUAUAAGGAAGAACACCAGUGGCGAAGGCGGCUCUCUGGUCUGUAACUGACGCUGAGGUUCGAAAGCGUGGGUAGCAAACAGGAUUAGAUACCCGAGUAGUC